rnacentral:rRNA from 1 species
GAUGAACGCUGGCGGCGUGCCUAAUACAUGCAAGUCGAGCGAACAGAUAAGGAGCUUGCUCCUUUGACGUUAGCGGCUGACGGGUGAGUAACACGUGGGUAACCUACUUCUAUUACUUGAAUAAUUCCGGGAAACCGCUGCCACUGCUGGAUAACAUUUCGUACCGCUUGGUUCUAAAGUUCUUCAUGGCUUUGCUGUCACUUUUAGAUGGUCUCGCGCCGUAUUAGUUAGUUGGUAAGGUCACGGCUUACCAAGGCAACGAUACGUAGCCGACCUGAGAGGGUGAUCGGCCACACUGGAACUGAGACACGGUCCAGACUCCUACGGGAGGCAGCAGUAGGGAAUCUUCCGCAAUGGGCGAAAGCCUGACGGAGCAACGCCGCGUGAGUGAAGAAGGUCUUCGGAUCGUAAAACUCUGUUAUUAGGGAAGAACAGAUGUGUAAGUAACUGUGCACGUCUUGACGGUACCUAAACAGAAAGCAACGGCUAACUACGUG